ensembl:rRNA 5S_rRNA 5S ribosomal RNA
UUAUACGGCUGUACCACCCUGAACGCACCCGAUCUUUUCUGAUCUCAGAAGCUAAGCAAGGUCCAGCCUGGUUAGUACUUGAAUGGGAGACCACCUGGGAAUACCUGGUGCUGUAGGCC